CAGCAGCCGCGGGAAUACGAAGGGGGCUAGCGUUGUUCGGAUUUACUGGGCGUAAAGGGCGCGUAGGCGGACUGAUAAGUCAGGGGUGAAAUCCCAAGGCUCAACCUUGGAACUGCCUUUGAUACUGUUUGUCUUGAGUUCGAGAGAGGUAAGUGGAACUGCGAGUGUAGAGGUGAAAUUCGUAGAUAUUCGGAAGAACACCAGUGGCGAAGGCGGCUCACUGGACCGUUGUUGACGCUGAGGUGCGAAAGCGUGGGGAGCAAACAGGAUUAGAUACCCCCGUAGUCCCUGUCUCUUAUAC
rnacentral:rRNA from 1 species